GCGCAGGCGGUUUUGUAAGUCUGAUGUGAAAUCCCCGGGCUCAACCUGGGAACUGCAUUGGAGACUGCAAGGCUAGAGUGUGUCAGAGGGGGGUAGAAUUCCACGUGUAGCAGUGAAAUGCGUAGAGAUGUGGAGGAAUACCGAUGGCGAAGGCAGCCCCCUGGGAUAACACUGACGCUCAUGCACGAAAGCGUGGGGAGCAAACAGGAUUAGAUACCCAGGUAGUCCACGCCCUAAACGAUGUCUACUAGUUGUCGGGACUUAAUUGUCUUGGUAACGCAGCUAACGCGUGAAGUAGACCGCCUGGGGAGUACGGUCGCAAGAUUAAAACUCAAAGGAAUUGACGGGGACCCGCACAAGCGGUGGAUGAUGUGGAUUAAUUCGAUGCAACGCGAAAAACCUUACCUACCCUUGACAUGGCAGGAAUCCCGAAGAGAUUUGGGAGUGCUCGCAAGAGAACCUGCACACAGGUGCUGCAUGGCUGUCGUCAGCUCGUGUCGUGAGAUGUUGGGUUAAGUCCCGCAACGAGCGCAACCCUUGUCAUUAGUUGCUACGAAAGGGCACUCUAAUGAGACUGCCGGUGACAAACCGGAGGAAGGUGGGGAUGACGUCAAGUCCUCAUGGCCCUUAUGGGUAGGGCUUCACACGUCAUACAAUGGUACAUACAGAGGGCCGCCAACCCGCGAGGGGGAGCUAAUCCCAGAAAGUGUAUCGUAGUCCGGAUUGUAGUCUGCAACUCGACUACAUGAAGUUGGAAUCGCUAGUAAUCGCGGAUCAGCAUGUCGCGGUGAAUACGUUCCCGGGUCUUGUACACACCGCCCGUCACACCAUGGGAGCGGGUUCUGCCAGAAGUAGGUAGCUUAACCGCAAGGAGGGCGCUUACCACGGCAGGGUUCGUGACUGGGGUGAAGUCGUAACAAGGUAACC
rnacentral:rRNA from 1 species